CUGCCGGUGAUAAACCGGAGGAAGGUGGGGACGACGUCAAGUCAUCAUGGCCCUUACGAGUAGGGCUACACACGUGCUACAAUGGCGCAUACAGAGGGCAGCCAACUUGCGAAAGUGAGCGAAUCCCAAAAAGUGCGUCGUAGUCCGGAUUGGAGUCUGCAACUCGACUCCAUGAAGUCGGAAUCGCUAGUAAUCGUGGAUCAGAAUGCCACGGUGAAUACGUUCCCGGGCCUUGUACACACCGCCCGUCACACCAUGGGAGUGGGCUGCAAAAGAAGUAGGUAGUUUAACCUUCGGGGGGACGCUUACCACUUUGUGGUUCAUGACUGGGGUGAAGUCGUAACAAGGUAGCGCUAGGGGAACCUGGCGCUGGAUCAC
rnacentral:rRNA from 1 species